rnacentral:rRNA from 1 species
UGGGGGGGCCUAAUACAUGCAAGUCGAACGCGUUGGCCCAAUUGAUUGAUGGUGCUUGCACCUGAUUGUAUUUUGGUCGCCAACGAGUGGCGGACGGGUGAGUAACACGUAGGUAACCUGCCCAGAAGCGGGGGACAACAUUUGGAAACAGAUGCUAAUACCGCAUAACAGCGUUGUUCGCAUGAACAACGCUUAAAAGAUGGCUUCUCGCUAUCACUUCUGGAUGGACCUGCGGUGCAUUAGCUUGUUGGUGGGGUAACGGCCUACCAAGGCGAUGAUGCAUAGCCGAGUUGAGAGACUGAUCGGCCACAAUGGGACUGAGACACGGCCCAUACUCCUACGGGAGGCAGCAGUAGGGAAUCUUCCACAAUGGGCGCAAGCCUGAUGGAGCAACACCGCGUGAGUGAAGAAGGGUUUCGGCUCGUAAAGCUCUGUUGUUAAAGAAGAACACGUAUGAGAGUAACUGUUCAUACGUUGACGGUAUUUAACCAGAAAGUCACGGCUAACUACGUGCCAGCAGCCGCGGUAAUACGUAGGUGGCAAGCGUUAUCCGGAUUUAUUGGGCGUAAAGAGAGUGCAGGCGGUUUUCUAAGUCUGAUGUGAAAGCCUUCGGCUUAACCGGAGAAGUGCAUCGGAAACUGGAUAACUUGAGUGCAGAAGAGGGUAGUGGAACUCCAUGUGUAGCGGUGGAAAUGCGUAGAUAUAUGGAAGAACACCAGUGGCCGAAAGCGGCUACCUGGUCUGCAACUGACGCUGAGACUCGAAAGCAUGGGUAGCGAACAGGAUUAGAUACCCUGGUAGUCCAUGCCGUAAACGAUGAGUGCUAGGUGUUGGGAGGAUUUCCGCCCUUCAGUGCCGGAGCUAACGCAUUAGCACUUCCGUCUGGGGGGAGGUACGACGGCAAGUGAACUCAAAGGGAAUUUGACCGGGGCCGCAACAAGCGGUGGAGCAAUGUGUAUCGAGCUACGCGAGAACCUUUA